UGAGGGAUAUUGGGCAAUGGGGGAAACCCUGACCCAGCAACGCCGCGUGAGGGAUGACGGUUUUCGGAUUGUAAACCUCUGUCCUCUGUGAAGAUAGUGACGGUAGCAGAGGAGGAAGCUCCGGCUAACUACGUGCCAGCAGCCGCGGUAAUACGUAGGGAGCAAGCGUUGUCCGGAUUUACUGGGUGUAAAGGGUGCGUAGGCGGAUUGGCAAGUCAGAAGUGAAAUCCAUGGGCUUAACCCAUGAACUGCUUUUGAAACUGUUAGUCUUGAGUGAAGUAGAGGUAGGCGGAAUUCCCGGUGUAGCGGUGAAAUGCGUAGAGAUCGGGAGGAACACCAGUGGCGAAGGCGGCCUACUGGGCUUUAACUGACGCUGAGGCACGAAAGUGUGGGUAGCAAACAGGAUUAGAUACCCUGGUAGUCCACACUGUAAACGAUGAUUACUAGGUGUGGGGGGUCUAACCCCCUCCGUGCCGGAGUUAACACAAUAAGUAAUCCACCUGGGGAGUACGACCGCAAGGUUGAAACUCAAAAGAAUUGACGGGGGCCCGCACAAGCAGUGGAGUAUGUGGUUUAAUUCGACGCAACGCGAAGAACCUUACCAGGUCUUGACAUCCAACUAACGAAGCAGAGAUGCGUUAGGUGCCCUUCGGGGAAAGUUGAGACAGGUGGUGCAUGGUUGUCGUCAGCUCGUGUCGUGAGAUGUUGGGUUAAGUCCCGCAACGAGCGCAACCCUUGUGAUUAGUUGCUACGCAAGAGCACUCUAAUCAGACUGCCGUUGACAAAACGGAGGAAGGUGGGGACGACGUCAAAUCAUCAUGCCCUUUAUGACCUGGGCUACACACGUACUACAAUGGUCGUUAACAGAGGGAAGCAAUACCGCGAGGUGGAGCAAAACCCUAAAAACGGUCUCAGCUCAGAUUGUAGGCUGCAACUCGCCUACAUGAAGUUGGAAUUGCUAGUAAUCGCGGAUCAGCAUGCCGCGGUGAAUACGUUCCC
rnacentral:rRNA from 1 species